GUAACAGGUUGCUUGUACCCAGGUUAUGUCAGGUAUUACUGAAGGUAUUUUAGGGGAUGGAGUAUGCAGACAAUGAGGUGCUUGCUAUUUGGCCUGCCCAAAACCAUAGAUAGGGCCCCCAUGAAAGGGUAGA